rnacentral:rRNA from 1 species
UACGUAGGGGGCAAGCGUUGUUCGGAAUUAUUGGGCGUAAAGCGCUCGUAGGCGGGCCAGGAAGUUCGUGUUGAAAGACCUCGGCUCAACUGAGGGACCGGCUCGAAUACUCUUGUUCUUGAGGCAAUCAGAGGGUGAUGGAAUUCCCGGUGUAGAGGUGAAAUUCGUAGAUAUCGGGAGGAACACCAGAGGCGAAGGCGGCGACCUGGAAGGUAACUGACACUGAGCAGCGAAAGCGUGGGGAGCAAACAGG